rnacentral:misc_RNA from 1 species
GAUGAAGAACGUAGCGAAAUGCGAUACGUAAUGUGAAUUGCAGAAUUCAGUGAAUCAUCGAAUCUUUGAACGCAUAUUGCGCUCUUUGGUAUUCCGAAGAGCAUGCUUGUUUGAGUAUCAGUAAACACCUCAAAGACUUUAACUUAUGUUGAAUUCUUUGGACUUGAGCAAUCCCAACACCAGUCUUUACGGAUCGGCGGAGGGUUGCUUGAAAUGCAGGUGCAGCUGGACAUUCUCCUGAGCUAUAAGCAUAAUUUAUUUAGUCCCGUCAAACGGAUUAUUACUUUUGCUGCAGCUAACACAAAGGGAGUUUGACCGUAUUGGCUGACUGAUGCAGGAUUUCACAAGGGUUGGCAACGACUCUUGUAAAACUCGAUCUCAAAUCAAGUAAGACUACCCGCUGAACUUAAGCAUAUCAAUAAGCGGAGGA